UACAUUUAGUUUCUAAAAAUAACAACUACUAUAUUCUUCAAAAUUUAAAAAAUAUUAUUUGUAUUAUUUAUUUUUUUAUUUUAAUUAUAUUAGUUUUAUAUUUUUUUUGUUAUUCAAAAAUAACUCUACAUUUAAUAUCGGUUAAAUUAUUCCGAAUUAAAUUCAAGUUAAAUUUUUAUCAAAAUGUUAUAAAAAAUUUAAAAUUUUUUUUUAUCCCUAACUUAAAGGUAAAGUAAAAAGAUUGGUGACGAUACAAGGGUAUGUUUAAAAAUGCAAAAUAUUAAAAUACUUAUUUUUCCUCCCUAACUAAGGGGUAAAUAAAAAAAAAGUUGAUAAUGAUAGAAGAAUAUAUUUGAAAGGCAAGAUAGUAAUUUUACAAAGAUAAUUUGAAACGUUAAAAUGGUAUUCUAAAUAUUAAUUUUCUAAGGAGGGUAAAUAAGAAAGCUGAAAAUUUUUCAGAGCUACAGAAGCAAUGGUCCCUAGUUUUUAAUAUAAAAAAAAUUCAAAUCACGUUAUACUCUGAAAAUGAUGUCUAAUUCUGCUUUACGAUGAAACUACACUUUACGUAAAUGAGUUUUUGACAAUUCUAUAAUUUUUCAGGCUGCUACUUUAGUUUUGCUGCUUCUGAUAGAAGAAUAGAAAGGAAAAGAAAAAAGAAAAACUGAAUUUCCUCAGUUGUUCAGCUCUUCCGGUCAGGAUUAAAACUUUCGGUCAAAAUUGUAACACAUACAUUGCUAUCUAUAUCUACUUAAAAUACUUUUGAUGAGAAUUUACUUAUAUUGCUUAUUCGUACAACUAAUUGUAAAAAUAUUACUUUUGAAACAGAUUUUUUGGGCCUUGUCACUAACUUGAAUAAGCUUUUGAAGUGGAGCAAUGAGUUUUGAGGAUUUAUAAUUUGAGAUUUGUCCGAGAUUAUAAGUGUUUACUGUUAUUUAGAAUUUAUUAUUUUUUGGUUAAAUUUCGAAUAAGUAUUUUAUUAUUGGAAUUCAUGUCCAAAAUUUAAUUUGAACAUUGAAAUUGUAAUUUGAUAGUGAAGACUAUUUGUUAUACAAAUUAGUAAUAUUUUUUGGUUAUUACUAUUUUUUAAGAUUUUAAUUCAUUGUAGUAUUUAGUUGUGGAACAAGUAUUUUAAUAUGAAUUGUAAUUGCCGUUAUAUGCUUCAUUUAUCAAACAUUUACUAUGUUUUUUGUGACAAUUAUAGUUAAUUAUAAAGGCAUUUAUAAUAGUUGCUAUUAUGUAGUAUUUAGCGGCAUUUAUUUAGGCUUUUAUCAACCGCCAGAACAAAUGCCACUAUAACUUUUAUCGACCCUACCAAUAGCGGCAAUUAUCAUAAUUGCCAGGUAAUUUAAAAAAUAAUCACCACUAAAACUUAAUUUUGUUGUAGUGAUUAUGCAUCAACUGAAAUCGGAUCUUGGGUCAGGGAGGAGCCGAGAAAGGCAUAGUUGGUCUUGUUAGCGGGCAAUUUUGGGGCUGCAGUCAGUUUCUGGAUAGGCAGUUCAUACUCUGGUAGUAGGCUGAGAAGUUGUGGCGGACUCGGAGAUAGAAAUAGCAACGAUGGUGGCAACAGCAACAACAAUAGGAAACUGAUCUUGGGUCGCUGCAUUGGCAGGAAGCUAGCACUUUAUGAUCUGGAGGUAGAUCAGAGGUGGGAAAGCGUAGAGUGCACAUGUGGCGGCGCAAGUUCUUGAAGACGGGCGAAAGGGCACUACUGGGGUUCGGCAUAGACGGAGAUGGCAUUGGAGGGCUUGGUUUCUGGUAAUGGCUGUGCACCAUCAAGUGAGAGAAAGCUAGUGAUAGUAGUAAUCGAGAUAAAAUGGUUACAUGGGGAGUGGAGACUUGUGGGGUUUUAUAUGCAUUUUGAGUCUUUUUAGUUUGAGUAAUUGCUUAUAUACUCAUUAAAAGUUUCAGGCUUUUAUAUUUAGGGCAUGUUUGGUUCCUUAGAAAAUAUUACAAUUUUUUUUUUUCAAGCUAGAAAAAUUGUCUCCGCAUGUUUGGUUCGUAGGAAAAAUAAUUUUUUUUUUUAUAUUUCAUGGAAACAUUGCCUUUUGUUUUCCAAAUAUUUUUUAGGAAAAGAAAAACUUUUUUCUCACAAACAUUUUGAGAAGUAAAAGAAAUUUUUUUUCUAAGAUAUUGAUGUACGUUUACCACUAAAUUCGUUAUUUUUAUCAUCUCCCACUGUCUCUCUAUAUCACCAAAUUAUAUAUACACACAUACAGAAUAACCAUCUUCAUCUCCUAGCCAUCAUCUCCAUCUCUUUUGUCAAAUUACAUUAUCAAUACCAAAAUAUAGUUAAAAUUUAUUUUUAUUUAAUUAUUUAUUAUUUAUAUUGUAAAGAGUUUGUAAAUAUUAUGUUAAAUUUUAGAAGAUUGGUAAUCAAUCUCACCCUUCUUUAGUAGAAAAUGAUGAUAUAUCAAAAUUUUCGACUAACCAAAUAAGUGAAAUCGAAAUUAAAUACUAUUUUUUUUUUCCUUACCAACUAAACUUUCAUAUAUAAAAAAUUAUUUUUGUUUUCCAUCGAAGCAAGCGGCAGAAACUAGGAAUUCCAUAAAAAACCUUUUUCUUCAUAAAAUAGUUUUCUAUUAUUUUCCAAGGAACCAAAGAAGCCCUUACGUGCUUAGAAGGCUAAUAUAAAAAAUACUCAUUUAAUAUUCCAAAUUUUUUCAAAUAUAUUCCUAGCUAGAGUUAAAUUCUAAGAACAACUAUUAUUUCUAUAAAGUUACUGUUUUGCCCUUUCAAAACUACCAUUCUAUAGUUAUCAAGUUUUCUUAUUUAUCCUCAAAUUAGGAAUAAAAGAAUUAUCUAGACUUUUUUUUCUUUCAAUUCAAAUAUUUACUAUUCUACCAUCAUCAAUUUUUCUUAUUUGUCCUUAAAUUAGAAAUAAAAGUGGUAUUUUGACUUUUUUUUUUUUUUAACUCUAGUAAAAAUUUAAUUCGGGUUUAAUCUGAGAUUAGUUAACAAAUAUUAACAGCGGAGUUAUUUUAAAUAAUGAAAAAAAUAUAAAAAAAAUAUUUAAAAUAAAAAAAUAAAAAAUUAUUAAAUAUUUCAGAAAUAUUAAGAAAUAUAUAAGUAAUUAUUCUUUUUAAUUUCCAAUCCU
rnacentral:lncRNA from 1 species